rnacentral:rRNA from 1 species
UACGAAGGGUGCAAGCGUUACUCGGAAUUACUGGGCGUAAAGCGUGCGUAGGUGGUUUGUUAAGUCUGUUGUGAAAGCCCCGGGCUCAACCUGGGAAUGGCAAUGGAUACUGGCAAGCUAGAGUGCGGUAGAGGGUAGUGGAAUUCCCGGUGUAGCGGUGAAAUGCGUAGAGAUCAUGAGGAAUACCAAAGGCGAAGGCAGUGUCCUGGGGAGUGUCUGACGCUCAGGCGCGAAAGCUAGGGGAGCGAACAGG